rnacentral:rRNA from 1 species
GACGAAGGAUGCAAGCGUUAUCCGGAUUCAUUGGGUUUAAAGGGUGCGUAGGCGGUUCGAUUAGUCAGAUGUGAAAGCCCUGGGCUCAACCCAGGAACUGCGUUUGAUACUAUCGAGCUUGAAUUCGGGAGAGGUGAGUGGAAUUCCCAGUGUAGAGGUAAAAUUCGUAGAUAUUGGGAAGAACACCGGUGGCGAAGGCGGCUCACUGGACCGACAUUGACGCUGAGGCACGAAAGCGUGGGGAGCAAACAGG